rnacentral:tRNA from 1 species
GGAGGAACAGCUCAGUGGCAGAGUGUGUGCUUAGCAUGCAUGAGGUCCUGGGUUCAAUCCCCAGUAUCUCCA